UACGUAGGGAGCAAGCGUUGUCCGGAAUCAUUGGGCGUAAAGCGCGUGUAGGCGGCUCGGCAAGUCGGGUGUGAAAGCCCUGGGCUUAACCUAGGAAGUGCACUCGAAACUGCCAAGCUUGAGUUCUGGAGAGGAAGGCGGAAUUCUCGGUGUAGAGGUGAAAUUCGUAGAUAUCGAGAGGAACAUCGGUGGCGAAGGCGGCCUUCUGGACAGCGACUGACGCUGAGACGCGAAAGCGUGGGGAGCAAACAGG
rnacentral:rRNA from 1 species